GAUGAACGCUGGCGGCGUGCCUAAUACAUGCAAGUCGAGCGAACGGACGAGAAGCUUGCUUCUCUGAUGUUAGCGGCGGACGGGUGAGUAACACGUGGAUAACCUACCUAUAAGACUGGGAUAACUUCGGGAAACCGGAGCUAAUACCGGAUAAUAUUUUGAACCGCAUGGUUCAAAAGUGAAAGACGGCCUUGCUGUCACUUAUAGAUGGAUCCGCGCUGCAUUAGCUAGUUGGUAAGGUAACGGCUUACCAAGGCAACGAUGCAUAGCCGACCUGAGAGGGUGAUCGGCCACACUGGAACUGAGACACGGUCCAGACUCCUACGGGAGGCAGCAGUAGGGAAUCUUCCGCAAUGGGCGAAAGCCUGACGGAGCAACGCCGCGUGAGUGAUGAAGGUCUUCGGAUCGUAAAACUCUGUUAUUAGGGAAGAACAUAUGUGUAAGUAACUGUGCACAUCUUGACGGUACCUAAUCAGAAAACCACGGCUAACUACGU
rnacentral:rRNA from 1 species